AACGAACGCUGGCGGCAUGCCUAACACAUGCAAGUCGAACGAGACCUUCGGGUCUAGUGGCGCACGGGUGCGUAACGCGUGGGAACCUGCCCUUAGGUUCGGAAUAACUCCCCGAAAGGGGUGCUAAUACCGGAUAAUGUCUUCGGACCAAAGAUUUAUCGCCUUUGGAUGGGCCCGCGUUGGAUUAGCUAGUUGGUAGGGUAAAAGCCUACCAAGGCGAAGAUCCAUAGCUGGUCUGAGAGGAUGAUCAGCCACACUGGGACUGAGACACGGCCCAGAAUCCUACGGGAGGGAGCAGUGGGGGAUAUUGGACAAUGGGCGAAAGCCUGAUCCAGCAAUGCCGCGUGAGUGAUGAAGGCCUUAGGGUUGUAAAGCUCUUUUACCCGGGAUGAUAAUGACAGUACCGGGAGAAUAAGCUCCGGCUAACUCCGUG
rnacentral:rRNA from 1 species